rnacentral:rRNA from 1 species
AACGAACGCUGGCGGCAGGCCUAACACAUGCAAGUCGAGCGCCCCGCAAGGGGAGCGGCGGACGGGUGAGUAACACGUGGGAAUUUUCCUCAAGGUACGGAACAACUCAGGGAAACUUGGGCUAAUACCGUAUGAUGCAGAGAUGCCAAAGAUUUAUCGCCUUGGGAUAAGCCCGCGUCAGAUUAGGUAGUUGGUGGGGUAAUGGCCUACCAAGCCUGUGAUCUGUAGCUGGUCUGAGAGGACGAUCAGCCACAUUGGGACUGAGACACGGCCCAAACUCCUACGGGAGGCAGCAGUGGGGAAUCUUGCGCAAUGGGCGAAAGCCUGACGCAGCCAUGCCGCGUGAAUGAUGAAGGUCUUAGGAUUGUAAAGUUCUUUAGCCUGUGACGAUGAUGACGGUAACAGGAGAAUAAGCCCCGGCUAACUUCGUGCCAGCAGCCGCGGUAAGGUCGUCAUGU